CUCCGCCCUACACUCUGGGCGCGCAGCCUGUUGACCCGCCGGGGCUCCCCGAACACGCUUACGGUCGGCCCGCCUCGCGGGGCGCCGGCCACAUCCGGGGCUCGGGGGCCCGCGCGGUUGCCAUGGCAGCGGGGUCGCGGCGGGCGCGCUGGCAGGCCCCGAGGCUGCUGGCAGCCUGGCGGUCGGCGGAGCCCCAGAACCGGACGGCCGUACCCGCAGCGCCUAGGGGCGAUCGGGCAGCGCCGCCGCCAUGUCCCUGAGCACCGGGGAGCCGGCCUCGGAGACGGGGGAUGACAGCCUGUCUGCAAUAACCUUCGACUCCGAAUCCGAGACG